CACAGUUCACCAUGUAUUAAUAAAUCUUCCUUACCACUCUUGAUUUUUUUUUUGUUCAUUAAAAGAUUUGGGGUUUUGAUUAUGAUAAAUUGUUGCAGCUAUGUUCAUGAAUUUUAACUUAAUUUAGUAGUUGACUACCUGGAUUUUAGAUAGAGCCCAUAUAUCAACAUUCAUAAUUUGCUCAGUAUUUUGUGAUUCAAGUUGCCAUUGGCUUGCGAAACCUAGAAAAAUGAAAAAUAUUGCUCUGCUGUUGCAAAGAAAAAAUCUUUGUUAAUCUUGAGUAAUUGCACAAGCUAAAGGGUGAAACCGAAAAUACAACAGAAGAUCUACAACAGAAAAUGCAGGUUUCGCCCCUGCCUUGAGAUCUUUUAUGUUCUCUCUUAACCUUAUAUCUAAUCUCUUUUCAAAUGCAGCAAGAACUACUAUUCGAAUGCUUGAAACUUUCAUUUGACUUGCUCAAGUUACAACUUUUACCGUACUCUAGCAGUUUUGACCUCUUUACUUAAUCUAUUUGGGUUGCAGUUGAUCUGAAACGGGCCACGUCAAUUUAUAAAAGAAAAUGAAUCAAAUGGGUCAAUCUUAAACACGUUGCAAGUUGCCCGAGAUGUACACAGGUUGGCCAUUAAAUAAUAGGUUGCGGCUUUGGAGCCUAGCGUUACAUCAGUCGUUAAGUCAGAUUCGUUAAGUCAGAUCAUACUGGUGUUCGGUAUAGUUAUGUUUCUUAUAAUGUACAUCUGGAACUAUGGUAGUAAGCUCAAGUAUGAAAUAGAAUACAUGACGAGUUACUUGAAGCGCAAAAGAAAGCAAAGAUUUUGGCAGAGCAAGAUCUUAAGGUGGAGCAAAGAAACAGCCUUGAGUCCUAUGUUUAUAAGACCCGUAGCAAGCCAGCAAGAGCUUUGCCACAGACUCAGAGAAGGACGUAAUCAUGAGCAGUCUAAAGGAGACUUAAGAUUGGCUGCAUGAAGACAGUGGCGAUGAAUCUGAACAAGACUAUACUUGAAAACUUAAAGAUAAAAGAACCGGUUGAAAAAAAUGUUAGGAAAAUGUGUGAGCAAAUGCAGAAAAAGCUCUGCGAGCUUAUUGUAUUGCAAAAUAUCUUCUGUGGGCGAUUCACUACCAGCUAGCAACAAAGAGAUGAUCCAAAGCCUUCAUUCCCAAUGGGUGAUGAACCCGUAUAUUCAGACCAAAGGGAGCAACGUGUGGACUCGGAUGUUAACUUGGACAAAAGCACCAACUUGUGGACUCGGACCAUAUUGACCGACACACUGAUUUAAAUGAACGAGAGCAACCCGUUGACUCGCCAAAGGGAUUAAGAUGCGAGCUCAGACCAAAGGGAGCAACCCGUGGACUCGAACCAUAGUGACCAAAACUAAAUCUUCUUACAUUAAUGGAAGCCAACAAGCACAUGAUGUUCUGAUUUCUUGCAUAGUUGGUAAGCUGGGCCUAUUAAGCUAUAUGUUUUCAUUUCUUGCCAAGUACUCUGUUAUAUGUUUGUUUUGGGGUAAAACAUGAGAUUUAUUGCAUCAUUUUUACAUCUUUUUACCAAUUGGAGUGACAUUUUUAAUAAACUUGCAUGA